rnacentral:rRNA from 1 species
UACAGAGGGUGCGCGCGUUAAUCGGAAUUACUGGGCGUAAAGCGCACGUAGGUGGCGACGUAAGUCGGGUGUGAAAGCCCCGGGCUCAACCUGGGAAUUGCAUUCGAGACUGCAUUGCUGGAGUACGGAAGAGGAAGGCGGAAUUCCCGGUGUAGCGGUGAAAUGCGUAGAUAUCGGGAGGAACAUCAGUGGCGAAGGCGGCCUUCUGGUCCAGUACUGACACUCAAGUGCGAGAUCGUGGGGAGCAAACAGG